UCUAACAAACUUUUGAUGUCUAUUAUCCAUUUACCAGUGGUCGUCCUUUAAUGUUAACAUCAAAACCGCGUGUGAUGAUGAAUCCUCGAUAUUAGCGGCGUGAAGAACGAAAGCGACGAGUAUCAGAGAAGCCGUUUGGGUUUCCUAUAUGGAAUCAAGCAAUCAGCGCGACGAUAAUCAUGGCAUCCCAAUCUCCGUUGAAAUCGAAUAAUGGUUGACAGUUUUGUGGCUGGCUUGGAACUUGGAACACAUUGGCACUCUGACUCCUUUCUGCAGUUUAAUUUUGUGGUGGUGAUUUAAUCUUCUGGCUCUGACUCAUGUUAGACAUUCUCAUUUGUUGAUUUUAAGUUGUUGUUUAGUGAAUUAGUGCUUAUUUGCUUAUUUCAGUUUGUUGUUAGGCAUUUUAGGGUUUAUUUGCUUAUUUUAAUUUGUUGUUUAGGGCUCAUUGUUAAUCUCUAAACAUAUACAAUCUAUAGAAAACAUAUAUCUU
rnacentral:lncRNA from 1 species